UACGGAGGGUGCAAGCGUUAUCCGGAUUCACUGGGUUUAAAGGGUGCGUAGGUGGGCAGGUAAGUCAGUGGUGAAAUCUCCGAGCUUAACUCGGAAACUGCCGUUAAUACUAUUUGUCUUGAAUAUUGUGGAGGUAAGCGGAAUAUGUCAUGUAGCGGUGAAAUGCUUAGAUAUGACAUAGAACACCAAUUGCGAAGGCAGCUUACUACACAACUAUUGACGCUGAGGCACGAAAGCGUGGGGAGCGAACAGG
rnacentral:rRNA from 1 species